rnacentral:tRNA from 1 species
UCUCCUCUAGCUCAGUGGUAGAGCAUCCGACCGGCAUGCGGAAGGGCAUAGAUUGGACUCCUGUUGGGAGAA